UCCGGGAUAACCCCGGGAAACUGGGGAUAAUACCGGAUAGAUCAUCUGUGCUGGAAGGCUGGGUGGUUGAAACUUCCGGGGCUUUUGGAUGGGUCUGCGGCUGAUUAGGUUGUUGCCGGUGUAACGUACCGUCAAGCCUGUAAUCAGUACGGGUUGUGGGAGCAAGAGCCCGGAGAUGGAUUCUGAGACACGAAUCCAGGCCCUACGGGGCGCAGCAGGCGCGAAAACUCUACAAUGCAGGCAACUGCGAUAGGGGAACAUCGAGUGAUCCUCAUAUUGGGGGUCUGUCCACCCGUCUAAAAAACGGGUGUUAGCAAGGGCCGGGCAAGACCGGUGCCAGCCGCCGCGGUAAUACCGGCGGCUCGAGUGGUGGCCGAUAUUAUUGAGUCUAAAGGGUCCGUAGCCGGCUUUGCAGGUCUCUCGGGAAAUCCAGCGGCUUAACCGUUGGUCGUCCGGGGGGUACUACAUUGCUUGGGACUGGGAGAGGUAGGAGGUACUCAGGGGGUAGGAGUGAAAUCCUGUAAUCCUUUGGGGACCACCGGUGGCGAAGGCGUCCUACCAGAACAGGUCCGACGGUGAGGGACGAAAGCUAGGGGCACGAACCGGAUUAGAUACCCGGGUAGUCCUAGCCGUAAACGAUGCUCGCUAGGUGUCACAACAGUCGUGAACUGUUGUGGUGCCGUAGGGAAGCCGUGAAGCGAGCCACUUGGGAAGUACGA
rnacentral:rRNA from 1 species